UAAUACGGAGGGGGCUAGCGUUGUUCGGAAUUACUGGGCGUAAAGCGCACGUAGGCGGCUUUACAAGUCAGGGGUGAAAGCCCGCGGCUCAACCGCGGAAUUGCCCUUGAGACUGUAUCGCUUGAACACGGGAGAGGUGAGUGGAAUUCCGAGUGUAGAGGUGAAAUUCGUAGAUAUUCGGAAGAACACCAGUGGCGAAGGCGGCUC
rnacentral:rRNA from 1 species